AACACGCCUCCCCAGACACCCAGAAAUAGGACUCAUAGACUUGCCCUCAGAACCAGCCCCCGCCCGCCCCACGUAGUCACAGCCUCCAACAGCGCAAGUGGCUGGUGAGCCUCAGUCAACAGCCCCCUCCAGCCUCGCAGCCACCGCACAGGCCUGCUUGGCACUUGGACUGUCACGACCGUGUUCCUGGAACUUGGGGGUAGCAAAAGAGAUAUGCAAACAAACCGGAAUGGAAUGGCACUCGCUCAACCUCUGGGGAAAUCCGCACUACAUAAAUGACCAAGAUGUGCCAUCUAGUGCCACCUGGCAGGUGAUCGCGACGCACGAUUCGUAAAGGGAUGCUUGAUCACGUCCAAGGGCUAAUUGGCAGGGAGAGCUGCUGGAAAUCACAGGAGAAGGGAAUCAUUGAUUGUGCUGUAAUCUUACUGGAAUUGGAGGCAGGAGCUUUAAAUCGCCCAGAAAUGGAGGAGCUGUCUUUUGUGUGACACCUCUGGGCUCGUACGAGCUCCACUCUGUGCGGACUCUGUGCAGAUGCUGAAGUAGGAGUGCGGCUGGAGGGAGGCCCUCGCCAUCUCUUUAUCAAAGCUGGUUUACAUGAUACAAAUUGUCCUACACUUUUGGUUCAUCUUCUACUAUUUUCUAGAGGGCCCGGUACAGAAAUGCUAUAUCCGUGUUCCACGGAAACCCACUUCAUUGUUAAUCAUUUCAUUUUGAUUUUGUGACGACACCGGCAAAAGUUGCGUGUUUAUGCUCUUGGAAGCUUUCUGAACAGGAUAUUUCUCAGUGAAAAAGUCAUGCAUUGGGGGCAAGUCUGACAUCAGGCGUUCCUUUCACGGAUCGUGCCUUUGGCGUUGGAUCUCAGGCACUCUUUGACUUGUUCUAGAUCCUGAAGGUUUUCCUCCAUAUUUUCUCUAAAAUUUUAUAGCUUCAUAUUUUAUAUUUCAAUCCGUGGUCCAUUUGCAGGGUUUUUGUUUUUUGUUA